AGCACGCCGCGUGUGUGAUGAAGGGUUUCGGCUCGUAAAACACUGUUGUAAGAGAAGAAUGACAUUGAGAGUAACUGUUCAAUGUGUGACGGUAUCUUACCAGAAAGGAACGGCUAACUACGUGCCAGCAGCCGCGGUAA
rnacentral:rRNA from 1 species